AUACUUACCUGUCAGAUCAUAAUACCAUGAUCACAAAGGUGGUUUUCCCAGGGUGAGUAUUACCCAUUGCAAUCCAGAUGUGCUAACCUCUGCAAUUUCCCCAAAUGUGGGAAACUCAACUGCAUAAUUUGUGGUAUUGGGGGACUGUGUUUGCGCUCUCCCCUU